rnacentral:rRNA from 1 species
AACGGCCCACCAAACCUACGAUGGAUAGGGGUUCUGAGAGGAAGGUCCCCCACAUUGGAACUGAGACACGGUCCAAACUCCUACGGGAGGCAGCAGUGAGGAAUAUUGGUCAAUGGACGAGAGUCUGAACCAGCCAAGUAGCGUGAAGGAUGACUGCCCUAUGGGUUGUAAACUUCUUUUAUACGGGAAUAAAGUGAGCCACGUGUGGCUUUUUGUAUGUACCGUAUGAAUAAGGAUCGGCUAACUCCGUGCCAGCAGCCGCGGUAAUACGGAGGAUCCGAGCGUUAUCCGGAUUUAUUGGGUUUAAAGGGAGCGUAGGCGGGU